rnacentral:rRNA from 1 species
UCCAGACUCCUACGGGAGGCAGCAGUGGGGAAUAUUGCACAAUGGGGGAAACCCUGAUGCAGCGACGCCGCGUGAGCGAUGAAGUAUCUCGGUAUGUAAAGCUCUCUCAGCAGGGAAGAAAGUGACAGUACCUGACUAAGAAGCCCCGGCUAACUACGUGCCAGCAGCCGCGGUAAUACGUAGGGGGCAAGCGUUAUCCGGAUUCACUGGGCGUAAAGGGAGCGCAGGCGGCACGGCAAGUCUGGAGUGAAAGCCCGGGGCCCAACCCCGGGACUGCUCUUGGAACUGCGCGGCUGGAGUGCAGGAGGGGCAGGCGGAAUUCCUGGUGUAGCGGUGAAAUGCGUAGAUAUCAGGAGGAACACCGGUGGCGAAGGCGGCCUGCUGGACUGCGACUGACGUUGAGGCCCGAAAGCGUGGGGAGCAAACAGGAUUAGAUACCCCAGUA